rnacentral:rRNA from 1 species
ACAGUUGGAAACGACUGCUAAUACCGCAUAAGCCCACGACCCGGCAUCGGGUAGAGGGAAAAGGAGCAAUCCGCUUUGAGAUGGCCUCGCGUCCGAUUAGCUAGUUGGUGAGGUAAUGGCCCACCAAGGCGACGAUCGGUAGCCGGACUGAGAGGUUGAACGGCCACAUUGGGACCGAGACACGGCCCAGACUCCUACGGGAGGCAGCAGUGGGGAAUAUUGCACAAUGGGGGAAACCCUGAUGCAGCGACGCCGCGUGGAGGAAGAAGGUCUUCGGAUUGUAAACUCCUGUUGUUGAGGAAGAUAAUGACGGUACUCAACAAGGAAGUGACGGCUAACUACGUGCCAGCAGCCGCGGUAAAACGUAGGUCACAAGCGUUGUCCGGAAUUACGGGGUGUAAAGGGAGCGCAGGCGGGAAGACAAGUUGGAAGUGAAAUCCAUGGGCUCAACCCAUGAACUGCUUUCAAAACUGUUUUUCUUGAGUAGUGCAGAGGUAGGCGGAAUUCCCGGUGUAGCGGUGGAAUGCGUAGAUAUCGGGAGGAACACCAGUGGCGAAGGCGGCCUACUGGGCACCAACUGACGCUGAGGCUCGAAAGUGUGGGUAGCAAACAGGAUUAGAUACCCUGGUAGUCCACACUGUAAACGAUGAUUACUAGGUGUUGGAGGAUUGACCCCUUCAGUGCCGCAGUUAACACAAUAAGUAAUCCACCUGGGGAGUACGACCGCAAGGUUGAAACUCAAAGGAAUUGACGGGGGCCCGCACAAGCAGUGGAGUAUGUGGUUUAAUUCGACACAACGCGAAGAACCUUACCAAGUCUUGACAUCCUGCGACGCACAUAGAAAUAUGUGUUUCCUUCGGGACGCAGAGACAGGUGGUGCAUGGUUGUCGUCAGCUCGUGUCGUGAGAUGUUGGGUUAAGUCCCGCAACGAGCGCAACCCUUAUGGUCAGUUACUACGCAAGAGGACUCUGGCCAGACUGCCGUUGACAAAACGGAGGAAGGUGGGGAUGACGUCAAAUCAUCAUGCCCUUUAUGACUUGGGCUACACACGUACUACAAUGGCGUUAAACAAAGAGAAGCAAGACCGCGAGGUGGAGCAAAACUCAGAAACAACGUCCCAGUUCGGACUGCAGGCUGCAACUCGCCUGCACGAAGUCGGAAUUGCUAGUAAUCGCAGAUCAGCAUGCUGCGGUGAAUAC